CGUUGCAGCUGCUGCGUUUGCUGCUUAUAUUAUUAUUGUUGUUGCAUGGUGCAGCUACUGCUUUGAGUACUUAUGGCACAGGUGCUGGCUUAGCAGGCGAGGUGAGCUUGGAAAAGAAUAGUCCGAGAAACUAAGGGCUCAGAGCUUAAAAACAAAACGCCGCAGUCCGAAAGCAACAAUGAAUGAAAAAAGCAUAGCAUGGGAGAGGCAUAAAGGAAAAGUCAGAGAUCCAUUGAAAGCAAUGACAAAAGCUGCUCCUGUUGCAGCACCUCGACGUUGCUUAUGUCGUUUGGAAUCACCAACUACCCACUAUCCACCACAAUCACAGCAGGUGAACCGCCGAGCUUCUUGCGUGGCUGUUGUUAAAAAUUUCAUGUUAAUGGCCAUAUGAAGCUUCGCUCUUAACCCUUUACCAUGGGGUGGCAUACAUGUGUGGUUGCCCUCCUCUGUCUCCUCCUCGCCCAAGCUGUCUGUCUGCGUGAGUUAUGUGCACACGCUUCGAGCGGCAAAGCCAAACCAAACCCGUCGUAAAUCUGACCCAGCCACAGAGGAGAGGAAAUUACUUUAAUUAAGGAUAUCUUAUGAAAUGCUUUCUCAUAUUUAUAACCCCCUCGAUAGGGCAGCAGCUGCAGGGGCCGCAUCAGCUAGAAAAAGGUGCACAAUCAAAGACGGAGCAUCGUUAAAAAAAAAUAAAAUCGAAAUAACAAAGCGGCUAUAGCGAGAAGAUAGCGCUGCGAGGUUCGCAGAGAAACGACAAAAUAUAAUAGGGACCCAGAGCUGAGCUGAACGAGGUAAGCAUAUAAUGCGAUUUCCUUGCUGAACUCUCGGUUGGCGCUUGAUUCACUGCUGUCUCUGUCACCUAGCAACCAAGUCCACAAAGGUGACCAACUGGUCAGGCAUUGUUCCAGCGGGCACUGGGAGCUGGGCUGUUGGCUUUGCUUUUGGCUUUGGAUUUACUUAUUUUUGCACAUUGUUUUCGCCCCAAGUGUUUUACCUUUAUUUUGCCUUGACUGUUUGCCAUCUGCGGCGCCUCAACUGUUAGUUUGUUUGGCUGUCCUUUGCAAGGAUAAUCAGAUAAAAUCUUUAGUGUCAUAUGGUCGAAGUUAGUUAAUUGUGAGAAUAGUAGUUGCUUUGGUUUCAGGUGAUUGAAUUAGGCAAAGUUUGACUGCAUUCAAUUGCAAACUAAAAUAUUCAAAGGCAUUCCUCACUAGGCCAGCAAGCAGCAGAUGGGGCGACAUACAACUCAUGGAAACACUUCGCAAUUCAUUUGCAAACACGUACGGCCAAGUCAUUUGGCUCAAACAACCAAUAAAAACAUGCAGCAGAACACACAUAUGCGGACAACACAAGAGGACGGUAAAAAUAACACAAACAACGUUUGUUUUUGCCUUUGCAAUGCCCGCACAGAGUGCUGCAUAAAUGUUCAUGAGUGCUCAUGAAAUAUAGAAAUGUUUAUGAAUUCCGAACGUUACUAACUUCAUUUGCAUAAUCCUUGUGUUUGUCAAGCUAGUAGCAAGUGUCACCUAUCAUAUACAUGACGUCUGACGAAUAGAAAUGCGACGCCCAGUGCCCAACACCCAACACCCGACUGCCUAAAUACUAAACAGAACACAUUACACACACCAUCGAAUUUUUAAGGCGACACUUCUGCAAAUGUAUCGCUAAAGGAGCCAAGCUCAGAUGAACCAUGAACCUCUUUGCCCCAGCACAGAGCUGGCAUCUCAAGCUUUUGAAUAUUGCAUAAUUUAUGCAACACAUUUGACAGCUGCAAAGAUACACGACAAUUUCAUACUGUCUUUUUGGAUGAGCUGGGCACACACCUUAGUUGUUUCGAUAAUAAUUAUUCAUAAGACUGUAUUAAAUGGGCAAAUCAUGCGUUGCUUGACUGCUAAA